GGCCAGGCGGUUGCCCUGACAACGGGAAACCGACAGUCUCUUCCCGGUAGGGAGAGGGGAUGGCGGAAUUACUCCUCUAAUGUCAAGGUUUUCUAAUCACAGAAUUACUGGAGCGUCAAGAAGCGCCUGCAUGCUUGGAAGGGCUUCCAGGCAGAUGAACACACCUCAGCACCGGGUGGCAGUUUCCCAGGGUGCAACCCGGACCGGCUCUGGGUCACACUGACAAGUGCACCCCUCCUGAGCUGAAGUGUUCCCAUUCUCUCCGCAGCCUCUCCGACUCCCCAGGCUGGGUUGGGUGCUCCUCCCUCUCAUCCCACAGCGCUAUGUCUCAUGUCUUCUGGAAAACUUGCCAAUCCCUAGUGAUAACAAGGAUUAACAAUUUCCAGAGACAGCCCGUACAUAGAGGGAAAGUUUACUGAAAAAAAUGAAGAGGGGUCAGGGCAAGGCGAGGAGCAAGAAGCAUCCCCAAGGAAACAGAGAAGACCAGUACAACUGUACCUCUUUGCCAGCUGCACCAUCCGUACCAGUCUCCUGGGGUGGGAGUGUACAGCUCAGAGACUGCCACACUGCAAGACGAAGGGGCUGGAUGGACGGAAGUAAGAGGCGGAACCCUGCACACCCUCGGCCUCAGCCCCACUGAGUCUCCAAUGGGGCCACGCUUCUGAGUGCACCUCCCCCUGUCAUCUGUAAUGUG
rnacentral:antisense_RNA from 1 species